rnacentral:rRNA from 1 species
GGAGUUAGCCGGUGCUUCUUCUGUGAGUGAUGUCCUUCCUGCCGGUUAUUGACCCGCAGGCCUUCUUCCUCACUGAAAGUGCUUUACAACCCGAAGGCCUUCUUCACACACGCGGCAUGGCUGGAUCAGGGUUGCCCCCAUUGUCCAAUAUUCCCCACUGCUGCCUCCCGUAGGAGUCUGGGCCGUGUCUCAGUCCCAGUGUGGCUGAUCAUCCUCUCAGACCAGCUACGGAUCGUCGCCUUGGUGAGCCGUUACCUCACCAACCAGCUAAUCCGACAUAGGCUCAUCCGAUAGCGCGAGGCCCGAAGGUCCCCCGCUUUCCCCCGUAGGGCGUAUGCGGUAUUAGCCUGGGUUUCCCCAGGUUAUCCCCCGACUACCGGGCAGAUUCCUAUGCAUUACUCACCCGUCCGCCGCUCGCCACCAGGGAGCAAGCUCCCCGUGCUGCCGCUCGACUUGCAUGUGUUAGGCCUGCCGCCAGCGUUCAAUCUGAGCCAGGAUCAAACUCUGA